GACGAACGCUGGCGGCGUGCUUAACACAUGCGAGUCGAACGGAAAGGCCUCUUUCGGGGGGUACUCGAGUGGCGAACGGGUGAGUAACACGUGAGUAACCUGCCCUUGACUUUGGGAUAACUUCAGGAAACUGGGGCUAAUACCGGAUAGGAGCUCCUGCUGCAUGGUGGGGGUUGGAAAGUUUCGGCGGUUGGGGAUGGACUCGCGGCUUAUCAGCUUGUUGGUGGGGUAGUGGCUUACCAAGGCUUUGACGGGUAGCCGGCCUGAGAGGGUGACCUGCCACAUUGGGACUGAGAUACGGCCCAGACUCCUACGGGAGGCAGCAGUGGGGAAUAUUGCACAAUGGGUGGAAGCCUGAUGCAGCAACGCCGUGUGCGGGAUGACGGCCUUCGGGUUGUAAACCGCUUUCGCUCAUGACGAAGCUUUGUGUGACGGUAGUGGGUAAAGAAGCACCGGCUAACUACGUG
rnacentral:rRNA from 1 species